AGUCGAACGAGCGAGAGAGAGCUUGCUUUCUCGAGCGAGUGGCGAACGGGUGAGUAACGCGUGAGGAACCUGCCUCAAAGAGGGGGACAACAGUUGGAAACGACUGCUAAUACCGCAUAAGCCCACGGCUCGGCAUCGAGCAGAGGGAAAAGGAGCAAUCCGCUUUGAGAUGGCCUCGCGUCCGAUUAGCUAGUUGGUGAGGUAACGGCCCACCAAGGCGACGAUCGGUAGCCGGACUGAGAGGUUGAACGGCCACAUUGGGACUGAGACACGGCCCAGACUCCUACGGGAGGCAGCAGUGGGGAAUAUUGCACAAUGGGGGAAACCCUGAUGCAGCGACGCCGCGUGGAGGAAGAAGGUCUUCGGAUUGUAAACUCCUGUUGUUGGGGAAGAUAAUGACGGUACCCAACAAGGAAGUGACGGCUAACUACGUGCCAGCAGCCGCGGUAAAACGUAGGUCACAAGCGUUGUCCGGAAUUACUGGGUGUAAAGGGAGCGCAGGCGGGAAGACAAGUUGGAAGUGAAAUCUAUGGGCUCAACCCAUAAACUGCUUUCAAAACUGUUUUUCUUGAGUAGUGCAGAGGUAGGCGGAAUUCCCGGUGU
rnacentral:rRNA from 1 species